UCGGCUGGGCAAGGGGAGUCAAAUCGCAAGGUUGGACUGUCCAGGCUGUGGGGUAAUUUCAUUCGGCUGGGGUCGCCUUGGGUAACUUAGGGCGAUUCGAGAAAAUAGGUUGCUGGCGAUUUGCAUAGCGUGCCACUGCGCGAUGUGAAAAGCGAGAUUUAAAUCAGACGGCUACACAUGUAGAACUGUUCGAAGAAGGUUUGCGGACGCGGGUUCAAAUCCCGCCAGCUCCACCA
rnacentral:tmRNA from 1 species